ensembl:lncRNA
GUUAUCUGCAAUAUCGUAUGUGUAUGCUAUGUAAAACAUGCGCAUCACUUUUUUUUCCUAAUGCAUGUAGUUGUGUAGCUAGAGUUUUCGAUUGGCCUGUUGAUUUGAGCUGAUGAAGGAAAGACCAAUAGCAGGUCUCUGUUUGUAACCUGGUGUUGUUUUCCAAGGCAAUUUGUAAAAAGGGGAAUGUGGGUUCAACUGGGGAUCUUUAAAACAGAUUCUACUCUUACUAAAAUUGUUACAGAGCAACUAUAUAGUGGUUCACUAUUUUAUUACUCUCUGAAAAAAAGUAUAUCUUUUUAAGUAUUGAUUUAACUGGAAAUACCACAGAAACACCUGAGGCAGCUGUGUUCUUCACCUGGUUGGUUAGUCGUUGUUUUGGUCUCGUUACUGAAGAAUUCAAAGCUUGGUCAUUGGGAGGAAAAUUUGAAGUCCUUUUCUGUCAAAACACUUUACAAUACAUUUAUUUUCUAUGCAAUGGCGCAGUACAGUGCAUUAUACGUGUAAACUAACUUACUAAAAGGCUGGCCAAUGCAAGCUACAACUAGGUUAGGGCUACAACUAGGUUAGGGCUACAACUAGGUUAGGGCUACAACUGAUAUGUGGAGCGAAAAGAAAACAUGUCCGUCUGCCCACAAGUUCUACAAUGUCAUCUGUGUAGUAACAAUUGUACACUUAAUAAUAAUAAUAAUAAUAGUAGCCUUGCAGACCGGUAUGCUGAAUAGGCGAUGUUGAAGAGCAUGUAUUUACCUUGCAUCAGAAAUGGCACCUUUUUCAACAACACCUUGGUUUUGCUGUUUAUUUGUUUUUUCUAACCAGUGUUUUCAGAUUCUUAGUUUACAACAUUGUAUAUAAUAUAUACAUUUCCAUUUACAUGUGGAAGAAAUGUUCCUUUAAAAAAAUUUUUUUUUUUUUUGUGGCAUUUUUCUGGUUUCAGACAUGUUUUUUUUUUACUAUAACAGCUUCAGUGAGUAUGUCUGAGCGAGCUAAACAUGGCGAACAAGUUCAUGCCACCAUCCAUUUAUACAAAAUUUCAACAAUUGCAGACCGAGCGUGAAAACUCACGCAUUGACUUUUUUGUUUUGUGUAUUUACUUGGAUGUUCCUCAGAGCGUUUUGUUUCCACAGUUAUUAUAUAAUGUGUCCAUUGGGGAAAUGACAUAAGUACAAUAAAAGCUCAUUUUCCAUAAUAAGUUACUGGGUGUGUGUGUACUGUCUCCUGUUGCUUCUUGGGCUUCUUGCAAAACUAGUUUAAAAUUUUUUGAAGUCAAACAAGUAUUUGAUUGUAUGCAAGUAUAAUUCUUAUGAUCAUACAUAAACACUCUUGCAUACAGAAAUGACUUAAUAUAUCCAGUAAAUGUACUACAGUUAAUUGUGAAUGAAAAUAUAUUGCUUGCAUAGCUUUUUAUAUCCAAUGAACUUCAGGGCACUUGCCUAGAAUUCUCCCCUCC